rnacentral:rRNA from 1 species
AUGAUGGUGCGUGUUUCUCCGGAGACGCUGGUGUUCUCCAAGGCCCGGGAGAAGAAGACAUUUAGCGUGUCGGUCAGCAGCCACCACAUGGAUGAACAAGAAUCCAUGGAGGGAAGCCUGAGCUGGGUGUCCGAGAAACACGUGGUGAGGAGCCCGAUCGUCGUCGCCCUUCGAGUCGGCGGUCCUACUCCCCUGCGAUCACCAUGA